rnacentral:piRNA from 1 species
CAUUAGCUCAUUUCACAGCACAUUUGAAUG